rnacentral:misc_RNA from 1 species
AUUUUUUUGGAGUAAAAUUUGAAACCCUAGAAAACCAACCCUAUCUUCAGCCUUCUGGCAUCUGCUCUUUGCUUACAUCCUUUCUAAUAAACAUCAAAUGGAACAACCGCCAAUCCCAAAUGCAAGCCCUCAAGCCCCACCCAAGGAUUCCAAGAAGAAGCCACCAACUCCUCAAGAACUCAUUUCCCACUACCAAUCUCAAGGCCUAGACUCUCAAGAAGCGUCUGUCAAGGUCAUUGAAGAUCUCCAGAAUGUGCUCUUUAGGGUUAUCUCCUCUAAAAAUAAGAACAGGAAGGACAAGCUCAUGGCUGAUGCAUCAAGAAAGGUGGAUUUGGUCAACAACAGAGUUGCUGUUCUUGAUAUGAAGUUGGAUUCGAAGCCUGGGUAUCUUGAGACGUUCGCUAUUGGGGUUGCUUCUGGGGCUGCUUUUAGAGGGAUUGAAAGUGUCUGGCCUCAUGUUCUUGGGGGUAUUGCCCAGAUUUGGAAUGCUGUUACUUGUGCAACUAAACCUCCUCCUCCUUGAUUGAACGAGGGAAAUGGAAUUUGGUGCUUUUGAAUUGUUGAAUUUUGGGUGGUUAUAUGUUGUUCAAUGGUAAUCUUGGGGGUUUGAUUGGAGUUAUUAUAGUAGUUUGUGAUAUCAUAAAGAAUGGUCCGCCUAGAAUGAAAAUUUUUAGCUUUAAGCAGUGUACACAAUCUUUUCUCUCUUGGGAAUAAUCAAAUUGAAUGUUUGCUAAAAUUUUGUUGGCUAAUAGGAAGAAACAUUUUUUUUCUUUUACUUGAGAAAAUUAUAAUAUGUUGAUAUUUAUUUUCUGAGUGAGAAAGUUGGGGAAUAAGGAAAAGUUAUUCCAAAUGCUCCAAAUUCUUUUAUUGUGUCACAAAUUUGAUUUGAACUUCACCUGGGAAUGGAACAAAAAAUCCUCAACUCAUUUGGUGGAAUGAAUGAAGAAAGCAUUUGUGCUUUCCCAGAGGCAAGGUCAGAAAGAGGAAGUAGGAUAUUGUCGGAGAAUUUAACUCAUAUAUAGUAUAAAUGAAACAAAUGCCCAAGUGGCACUAUAUAGGAGUGUAGCAACUUACUGCAGGAACAUUGUUAUUCGCAUUCCUUGGUUGAUCUUUACCUUCCAUUUUUAGUACUAUGUUCACCCUUGCUCUGCUGUUUUAUAGGUCUAAAUAUCAAUUUUUGAAGUUCUACAUGGUCUUUCCAAUGCAUUGCUUGCUGCUAAGA